GGGAUUGCCCUAGUAACGGCGAGUGAAGCGGCAACAGCUCAAAUUUGAAAUCUGGCUCUCGGGCCCGAGUUGUAAUUUGUAGAGGAUGCUUUUGAUGCGGUGCCUUCCGAGUUCCCUGGAACGGGACGCCAUAGAGGGUGAGAGCCCCGUCUGGUUGGAUACCAAAUCUCUGUAAAGCUCCUUCGACGAGUCGAGUAGUUUGGGAAUGCUGCUCUAAAUGGGAGGUAUAUGUCUUCUAAAGCUAAAUACUGGCCAGAGACCGAUAGCGCACAAGUAGAGUGAUCGAAAGAUGAAAAGCACUUUGAAAAGAGAGUUAAAAAGUACGUGAAAUUGUUGAAAGGGAAGCGUUUAUGACCAGACUUGGGCUUGGAUAAUCAUCUGGGGUUCUCCCCAGUGCACUUUUCCAGUCCAGGCCAGCAUCAGUUUUCGCCGGGGGAUAAAGGCUUCGGGAAUGUGGCUCCCUCCGGGGAGUGUUAUAGCCCGUUGCGUAAUACCCUGGCGGGGACUGAGGUUCGCGCAUCUGCAAGGAUGCUGGCGUAAUGGUCAUCAACGACCCGUCUUGAAACACGGACCAAGGAGUCGUCUUCGUAUGCGAGUGUUCGGGUGUCAAACCCCUACGCGUAAUGAAAGUGAACGCAGGUGAGAGCUUCGGCGCAUCAUCGACCGAUCCUGAUGUUCUCGGAUGGAUUUGAGUAAGAGCAUACGGGGCCGGACCCGAAAGAAGGUGAACUAUGCCUGUGUAGGGUGAAGCCAGAGGAAACUCUGGUGGAGGCUCGCAGCGGUUCUGACGUGCAAAUCGAUCGU
rnacentral:rRNA from 1 species